rnacentral:rRNA from 1 species
CGAUGCAACGCGAAAACCUUACCACCUUUGACAUGUACGGAACCUUUAGAGAUAGAGGGGUGCUCGAAAGAGAGCCGUAACACAGGUGCUGCAUGGCUGUCGUCAGCUCGUGUCGUGAGAUGUUGGGUUAAGUCCCGCAACGAGCGCAACCCUUGUCAUUAGUUGCUACAUUCAGUUGGGCACUCUAAUGAGACUGCCGUGACAAGCCGGAGGAAGGUGGGGAUGACGUCAAGUCCUCAUGGCCCUUAUAGGUGGGGCUACACACGUCAUACAAUGGCUGGUACAAAGGGUUGCCAACCCGCGAGGGGGAGCCAAUCCCAUAAAGCCAGUCGUAGUCCGGAUCGUAGUCUGCAACUCGACUACGUGAAGUCGGAAUCGCUAGUAAUCGUGGAUCAGAAUGUCACGGUGAAUACGUUCCCGGGUCUU